rnacentral:rRNA from 1 species
UACGGGGGGGGCAAGCGUUGUUCGGAAUUACUGGGCGUAAAGGGCUCGUAGGCGGCCAACUAAGCCAGACGUGAAAUCCCUCGGCUUAACCGGGGAACUGCAUCUGAUACUGGAUGGCUUGAGUUCGGGAGAGGGGUGCGGAAUUCCAGGUGUAGCGGUGAAAUGCGUAGAUAUCUGGAGGAACACCGGUGGCGAAGGCGGCAUCCUGGACCGACACUGACGCUGAGGAGCGAAAGCCAGGGGAGCAAACGGG